UUUAUGGAGAGUUUGAUCCUGGCUCAGAGUGAACGCUGGCGGCGUGCCUAAUACAUGCAAGUCGAACGAUGAAGCUUCUAGCUUGCUAGAAGUGGAU
rnacentral:rRNA from 1 species